GACGAGUCUCACGAACGUUAUUCGGAAUUACUGGGCUUAAAGGGUGCGUAGGCGGUGAAGUAAGUCGGGUGUGAAAUACCAUAGCUUAACUAUGGAACUGCACUCGAUACUACUUUGCUAGAGUAAGACAGAGGUGAGUGGAACUGAGGGUGGAGCGGUGAAAUGCGUAGAUAUCGGAAGGAACACCGAUGGCGAAAGCAGCGUGCUGGACCUUUUCUGACGCUGAGGCGCGAAAGCCAGGGGAGCAAACGGG
rnacentral:rRNA from 1 species